rnacentral:rRNA from 1 species
UGGGGAAUCUUCGGCAAUGGGCGAAAGCCUGACCGAGCCAUGCCGCGUGGAUGAUGAAGGCCUUAGGGUUGUAAAAUCCUUUCGCUAGGGAAGAUAAUGACGGUACCUAGUAAAGAAGCUCCGGCUAACUCCGUGCCAGCAGCCGCGGUAAUACGGAGGGGGCUAGCGUUGUUCGGAAUUACUGGGCGUAAAGCGGGUGUAGGCGGAUCGGUCAGUCAGAGGUGAAAGCCCAGGGCUCAACCCUGGAAUUGCCUUUGAUACUGCCAAUCUAGAGUGUGGGAGAGGUGAGCGGAAUUCCGAGUGUAGAGGUGAAAUUCGUAGAUAUUCGGAGGAACACCAGAGGCGAAGGCGGCUCACUGGACCACUACUGACGCUGAGAUCCGAAAGCGUGGGGAGCAAACAGGAUUAGAUACCCCCGUAGUCC